UAGCCAUGAUGUGGGCAAGUUAGCAAUAAUUCCUUAAAAUGCUCCCAAUACUAAAAAAAAAAUCUCAUUUUUUUUUUUUGAGAAAAAUUCAUAUUGUUUAUGUGAAG